UACGGGGGGGGCAAGCGUUGUUCGGAAUUACUGGGCGUAAAGGGCUCGUAGGCGGCCAACUAAGUCAGACGUGAAAUCCCUCGGCUUAACCGGGGAACUGCGUCUGAUACUGGAUGGCUUGAGUUUGGGAGAGGGAUGCGGAAUUCCAGGUGUAGCGGUGAAAUGCGUAGAUAUCUGGAGGGACACCGGUGGCGAAGGCGGCAUCCUGGACCAACACUGACGCUGAGGAGCGAAAGCCAGGGGAGCAAACGGG
rnacentral:rRNA from 1 species